CGCUGAGUUUGAUCCUGGCUCAGGAUGAACGCUAGCGGCAGGCCUAACACAUGCAAGUCGAGGGGUAGAGUUCUUCGGAACUUGAGACCGGCGCACGGGUGCGUAACGCGUAUGCAAUCUACCUUUACAGAGGGAUAGCCCAGAGAAAUUUGGAUUAAUACCUCAUAGUAUGUGAGAAUCGCAUGGUUUUUCACAUUAAAGUUCCAACGGUAAAAGAUGAGCAUGCGUCCCAUUAGCUAGAUGGUAAGGUAACGGCUUACCAUGGCGACGAUGGGUAGGGGUCCUGAGAGGGAGAUCCCCCGACACUGGUACUGAGACACGGUCCAGACACUACGGGGUGCAGCAGUUUCGAAUCGUUCACAAUGGGGGCAACCUGAUGGCGCGAGGG
rnacentral:rRNA from 1 species